AUACGGAGGGUGCAAGCGUUGUUCGGAAUCACUGGGCGUAAAGGGCGCGCAGGCGGUUUGGUAAGUCAGAUGUGAAAGCCCACGGCUCAACCGUGGAAGUGCAUUUGAAACUGCCAGACUUGAGUACCAGAGGGGAAAGUGGAAUUCCCGGUGUAGAGGUGAAAUUCGUAGAUAUCGGGAGGAAUACCGGUGGCGAAGGCGACUUUCUGGCUGGAUACUGACGCUGAGGCGCGACAGCGUGGGGAGCAAACAGGAUUAGAAACCCUAGUAGUCC
rnacentral:rRNA from 1 species